CUGGAUGUGGGGCCCGUUCCACGGGUUCCGUGUCGGAGCUAACGCGUUAAGCAUCCCGCCUGGGGAGUACGGCCGCAAGGCUAAAACUCAAAGAAAUAGACGGGGGCCCGCACAAGCGGCGGAGCAUGCGGAUUAAUUUGAUGCAACGCGAAGAACCUUACCUGGGCUUGACAUGUUCCCGACAGCCGUAGAGAUAUGGCCUCCCUUCGGGGCGGGUUCACAGGUGGUGCAUGGUCGUCGUCAGCUCGUGUCGUGAGAUGUUGGGUUAAGUCCCGCAACGAGCGCAACCCUCGCCCUGUGUUGCCAGCACGUCAUGGUGGGAACUCACGGGGGACCGCCGGGGUCAACUCGGAGGAAGGUGGGGAGGACGUCAGAUCAUCAUGCCCCCUACGUCCAGGGCUUCACGCAUGCUACAAUGGCCGGUACAACGGGAUGCGACACGGCGACGUGGAGCGGAUCCCUGAAAACCGGUCUCAGUUCGGAUUGGAGUCUGCAACCCGACUCCAUGAAGGCGGAGUCGCUAGUAAUCGCGGAUCAGCAACGCCGCGGUGAAUGAGUUCCCGGGCCUCGCACU
rnacentral:rRNA from 1 species